rnacentral:lncRNA from 1 species
GAUGACGAACGAUCAGAAUUCGUCCGGUCGCUUGCGCGCCGAGGUUCAUGGCCUCCGGCUUAGGUUGUUGUUUUUGUCUUGUUUUUUGCUUAUCGUGGACUAUGCGUUUAUUUGUUUGACAUGGUUUGAUGUGUUUAUGCAGUUGCCAUAUCCUAUCCUUCGCAUCUUUGGUGAGAAGGAUAGGGUACGCUGGGUGACGGAGGUUCCCGAGGAUGUUGCUAAGCCUUUUCUUCAUGGUUUUCCGGAGGUUCGAAAGCUUCGUUAUACGUUUUGGUUUUAUCCUUCGUUAGGGUUGGUUUUGAAAUUGCUCUUUUUGCGCAGGUUGUGAGAUCUGCUCCGGAGGUUGUUCUUCCUUCGAACUUUGUCGAAGGAAGCUACGUUACCCCGGUGACGUUCAAGCGUGGAGAUCUGUACGCGAGGGGUUAUCUAAUUGAUUGGUGGCGCCAUAAGUAUCCUACGCGUAGUAUUGAUGACUUAGUUGAUUUUCUUGUUGAAGAUUACUGCGAUGAGCUUAGGCUUUUUCCGGAUUCGUAUGUAAAAAUUGUGCGAGAGUCUUAGAACCUUCGACUUUUGACGGUCGAAGGAUGUUUUCCGUUUUUGGUUGUAAACUGCUGUUCUGCGCAUUGUUUAAUAAAGAUCAGUCAUUUUUACGAUUGCCUUGGCUACGCUCUCCGCAUUCUUAGCUGUGUUUCUAUUACAACCUUCGCGAUUUUGUACACAGUGUUUAUACAUUGAAACGUCACGGUGGUGUUGAUCCUAAGGAUCUUUGUCUUGUUGUGGUACCUUCGUACUUGAUGUUUGAUGUUGCGAAGGCGAUGGUGGUCGUUUCUUGUGCGCAGGAUCGCCGCUUAUUGGCCUUAGGACCUUCGCUUUUUCUGGUGCGGAGGAUCCUAUGCUGAAUUGUGCUAUUUUUUUCCUUUGCUCAACUCCCGUGGAGUGUUGUCGAGGAGAACCUUCGGGUAUGUGUGUCGAAGGUUCUGAAGGGAUGUUACGAGACUUCGUGCGAUACCCUUCAGAGACCUCUGAGUCUCACUUGUAAUUGUUUUGUUGUGGCUGUACACGACUCUGUGGUCGAUGUUCAUCACAACGCCGUGGUUCUAACAUUACGAAGCUUCGUGCAGUACCAACUUUUGUUGCUGCUGUGAGGCUAACUCCUGCUUCCAUGGUGACCUAGGGUUUUUCCUUUUUGAUUGCUAGGUUUGCACUUGUUGGUUGGGUCUGUGUAUACUGAUCCAGACUGGGGGAGGAGGGGCGUGCUGUGCCUGGUUUUAUAGGGUUUCGUGCAUUUAUCGCGCGUACCUUGUUAGGUUAG